GGAGGGGCUCCUGGGUGGGGGAAUAGGGGACUCCCCCGGUUGUCGGGAAAGGCUCGCGGGAUGAGGGGGGCUCCCCAUCUUGAUGCGCGGUGAGCCCCGGGGCAGCAGGAGUCAGACAUUGUGGUGACAGGAGGUUAACCUGGUCUCUGGUGAGGUGAAGUGCGGCCCUUCUGGGGCCCCGGGCCCCUGUCACUUCCACACAUGUGCCGUGGCCCAGGGCAGCACCGGGACUGCCUCUCAGGGCACAGAGUCCCCACUGACAGAUAAAAUAGGAUCUUCAGAGUUCCCUGACCAAGGGGCGCCCCAGAGCCCUGCUGCAGGUGCACUGCAGGCGCAUAAAGCCCAGGCCCCGGUUGGAUGGAGGAGCAGCGAGGGCCCUGGUGAGAAGCCAGCCGCCCAUGGACCCAGGACCCUUGCAGGUGGGAUUGGGGGGAGAGAAGACCAACCACAGGGCCCCAGGACUUUGCCUCAACAACCACAGCCCUGAAACCUCCCAAAAGGGAAGGCCUGGUGAUGACAAAGGGUGACCCUGGGACCCCACACUGGCUGCAGCCUUCCUGCCCCAGGUGCAGCCUGUCUCCUGCUUCCUACCUGGUAGGUUUUAUGAGAAAUCAUGGGAACAGCUCCAACGUGAGACUAACUGCCAAGUAAGCCUGGGGUAACCAGGAGGACCUCAGUAGAACACAGGCCCACUCAGUCCCCUCCAAUCUCUGAGGCUGACCUUAGGGAUUUCUGAGUCAUUGCUACUCAGAAUAUCCCCAGGAAGCAAGCAUCAGGAAUGUAUAGGGGAAAAACACCACAGACACAGACAAGCCAUGGCAGGACUAAGAGGGGAGAAAAUGGGUGUUCCUCUGUAGCCACCACCUCUCCUGAGCUCUGAAGACCCUGGAAUGUUUCAGUCUGUUCUAGAGGUUGUAGUAAUGCCAUAGGAGUAUCUGGGUCACAGCUGCUGAUCCUGUUAGUCCUGGCAGAUGCAAGCAAUUUGAUCACCAGCCCAUAGCCACCUGUUGUUCCAGCUCCAUCAAGCACCGACACCAGACAGCAUUGCCAGGGCCCAGCAUUCCUUUUUUUUUUUUUAAGAUGUAUUUUUAUUUAUGAUAGACACACAGAGAGAGAGAAAGAGAGGCAGAGAAACAGGCAGAGGGACUCCAUACCGGAGCCCGACGCGGGACUCGAUCCCGGGACUCCAGGACUGCGCCCUGGGCCAAAGGCAGGCCCUAAACUGCUGCACCACCCAGGGAUCCCGGGUCCAGCAUUCUUGGUCUAGGACUUCAACCCAAAAAGAGUGGCACUGCCUGGUUAGAACCAUCCAUCAAGCAGAAAGGACAACAGUUCAUCUGAGAUGCUGCAUGUGACCCAAGGCUUCCUGCGUUCCCAAACAAAAGAAGACAAUCAAGCUAUGCUAGGCCAGAAAAUGGCCCCCAAAUGCAUCAUCCUAAUUCCCAGGACCUAUGAAUGCUACCUUAUUAAAAAAAAAAAAAAAAAAAAUUCAGGGCACCUG